CUUUCAGAUAAUGGAGAUAUUACAAGCACAAGUUCUCAAGCAGACCUGACAGGUCCUCUGGAUCACAGCACUUCUCCUUUGGAUACUGCAGGUUCUGUGGAUCAUCAGAGUUCCAGCCCUUCAGGUGACUCUACAG